rnacentral:misc_RNA from 1 species
AACGCACCUUGCGCUCCUUGGUAUUCCGAGGAGCAUGCCUGUUUGAGUGUCAUUAAAUUCUCAACCUAUCAAGUUUUUAUUAACUUGUUAGGCUUGGAUGUGGGGGUUGCGGGCUUCUCAGAAGUCGGCUCUCCUUAAAUGCAUUAGCGAAACCUUUGUUGACCAUCCCUGGUGUGAUAAUUAUCUACGCCACUGACAAUCAGCUUUAUUAUGGGGUCUUGCUUCUAACCGUCCUUAACUGUGACAACUCUUGACAUUUUGACCUCAAAUCAGGUAGGACUACCCGCUGAACUUAA